GGGCAGGGCAAGAGUCUUUGUGUUUGCGUGAUUAGACAGUUGGCAACCCGAUGGGCAGCACAAUAACAGAAAAGAGUAGAUUUCGUGGGAGAGGCAAAGCUGUGAGGGGGCUUGGAGGGGAAGAAAAGAAGGUUGAACUUGCUGCAGUGGCAGUGGUAGAGUCAGAGGAGUGAAAUGGUGAGGGGGUUGAAAUUAGUGCAGGAGCUGCAUUAUGUCUGGGCUGGAGGGCGUGGGGGGUGAUGCGAUUUGUUUGUUAUGGAAGCCAGGGAGGAGAAAGCUGCAGUAAUCAAGACUUUUCUCUUUCGCUCUAACAGAUGAUGUGGGUGGUGAAUCCUCCCCUCCCCACAACCAGAAAUGUCCUGACUUCUGGCUUGCUAGCUAACAAGUGCCUAUGUAUUCAUAGGCUUUCAUGCCACACACAUGGCAUUUGCCGAAUCUAACUCAUGCUUGUUGGCUGACAUAAAGUCUGUUGCUCAUACCCAUUGUGCAGUUGCAGUGCUGAAUGCUGAUGAGACCAGGCUUACUGCAACAGGUGAUUGUAACAUAUAAGAGUUGUUGGAGAGCAGCAGCAGCAGCAGGAAAAGGGUGGAAAAGCUGCUGUGGGAUUUGUGCUACUGUCUGUGAAAUAUCCCCAGGCUGAAAUAUCAGACAAUUUUGGAUAAAGUGCACUGUGACGGGGUGUACCAACCCUGCACUGGGCCAAUGGGGCGUGACCAAUCACUGUGGGCCCAGGAAACCACACCCCCUCAUCCCUGCUGGGCCUGCUUAGUGUGGAAGGGACAGAUAAAAGGAGGCAGUCCAGAUCAGUCUGGGUUGCCUGAAGAGGAGGAAGGACAUGUGCUGCAGUCUCCUGCAGAGGUGUCUGUGACUCUCCAAGCGGUGGGAACCAUGGAUCUGGACUACGCUGCGGACGACCAGCUGACCACAGAGACUGACUGGGAUGCUGAGCUGCUGCCAGCCAAAGAGAUGCCUGAGAUGAGCUUUGCGUUGGGACCAAUGGGCCUCUGGGUCACAUCUUGUGCACUUUGCCAUCCUGGCCUGAUGCUGCUGUGUGACAGCCUCUGAACUGAUGGAGCUGGUGAAGAAUCUAAGUACUGAAAUGCCAAGAUGCUUUGGAACCAGAGAUUGGACUCAUGGCAGAUUGAAAGAACAAAAAUAAUGUCGGUCCCUGGGGCAGGAUGGUGUCGGUGUGUCAUCUGUAACAGACUGUAUCUGAACUGAACACAAAAUGCCAGCUACUUCUAGCAAAUCACAGAUGCCUACUAUGACACUGCACCCAUGUUCUUCACAGUGAUAUUAUUAUGAUAUGAUUAUGGCAUAAUUAUGAAGCAUUUUAUGCAAAACAAGUCGUGAAAGGUGUCCUUGAAAAGGGUAUGAUUUGCUGAACAUGAUUAUCCUAUUUGUAUCCAUGUAUCAAUUUUGUAUCUGAAGUUAUAAAUACUGAUUAUGUAUUUGUACUUCAAAUGUAGUUUCCCCUGGGUAACACCCACUAGACAAGAUGCUUUCAGUCUAGAUAGUGGAUGGGGAAGUGCCUAUUCAGUGUAAUGGGCCAUUAGAAAAAACAAUAGGCCUUAGGAGAAGCUUAUCCACCACCUGGUGAGCCUUCCUGAGAAUGCUACAGACAGCCUGUGAGUGAUGUCCUUGUAGAGUCAUAGCAGCCAUGUGACCAGGCCACAUGACUUUGGACUCCAUCUUGAGAUGUCAGUAUUUUUCCACAAACCAGUCUGGGAACCAAGUUUUGAAAUAAAUGGUUCCCACCAUAUGCAAAAGCUAUAUAAGGCAGGGAGUGAAAUCAUUUAGGGUUCUUCACUCCCCACAUAGACUCCUGGAAACACCUGAGGAACAAAGACUGAACUGGAGGAAGUGCUGGACCCAGGCUAAAUGGAUUUCUAGCCUGUAUAUGAAUGACCUGGGGACUUCAAGCUGUAAAGUAAGUGCAGCCUGCCCCUUAAGAAUCUGCAGCCUGUUUGUAUCAUUUCUCAGGGUGAGAAUCUGCUAAUUCAUAUCCAAUCUAUUUAGUGUAUUAAGCUUGCGUUUUUUGUUUAUGUGCUAGGUAAUCUGCUUUGAUCUGAUUGAUAUCACUUAUAAUAAUUUAAAAUCUAUCUUUUGUAGUUAAUAAACUUGUUUUUGUUUUAAUCUAAACCAGUGAGCUGGAGUGCUUGGGGAAAAAUCUCUGCUUGGUUACCACAAGUGUACAUUGUUCUCUUCACAUUGAGGGAGAGGCAGACCGGGUAUUAAACCCAUAUACUGGCCAGAUUUGACCAGGGAUGGAUGGUACUGCUCUGGGGUCCUAGAGUGGGAAGCUGGUGGUUAGAGAGCCUGCAUGUAACUGCAGCUGGGUAUGUUCCUACCUGUGUGGAUGCUGGUGAAAGUGCAGGCUGGAGGGCUUUGCAGCUUGUCACAGCAGCACAGUGUGAGAGGGAGCUCAGGCUGGUGGGUCAGAGGGCUCAGUGGGGCUCAACCUGGGGCGAACCUGUCACAUCUACAAAUUUAAAAGUGAAGUACACAAAAACAAGUCCGAAGUCACCUAGCUACCUACCCCACACAACCAUGCACUAAACCUUUACAAUGAUGGUUACAAAGGCCACCCCGGACCUGGGGGAAUCUGGGAGCAGCCUCCUGACUCUGCGAUUUCCCACUCCCAGCACAGGCAGCACAACUGGCUUGUCAUUGUGCUGUCAUAGCACCAUCCUCUCAACCAUUUGCACCCACAUGCCACUCCCCCACCACCAGCCUUGAGAAGAUUCAGAGAAUGGGCAAGUUAAGUUGAUGCUGUCGCAUUAGCAUUAAUGUAUGCUACUUCCCAUCUCUGCAUCUUAAGUUGUUUACAACCCUGUUUUCACACUCUGCGCUGACACAAUUUCCAUGUGAUUUUGUUUCUUUUGCAACAGCAGAAUAGAACAAAAGGGGCCCACCAUCCCUCUCUCUUUGAAUUGCUAUACAACUUGCACUCAUCUGGAAAACUUAUGCUCCUUGUCCAAAGGAUGAAGGCUUUAGUGCUAAGAGAUUCUCAGAAGCAGGCCCUCACUUCUAAUCUGCAAUUUACUAUCACCAGAAAUUUGCAUAAACCCAUCCACAUUCAGAUGAUACUGUGUGUGAUGUUAUUGACAUAAACGGUGACUGUAUAGAUCAUUGUUGCAACCAAGGUCCAGUGCAGCACCAAAUAUUGUACAAAGGUUGUCGUGUGAGGUGUCUAUGAAAAGGUUAUAAUUUGCUGGUUAUGAUUAUGCUAUCUGUGUGUGUAUAUCAUUUUGUGGUUGAAGUUAUGAAUAUUGGCUAUGUACUUGUAUGCGUUUGUGUUUGUUUCUAAGUAGCAUUAGUGAAGCAUUUCGUCAGCUUCUUGAGAAAGGAAUUUGCAGAUCAAGUGCCCAGUCAAGAAACACUUAACUGACAAUGGAUCUCAGAAGACUCCAAUCCACAUAUGAGAAGUCUUCCUGGGACAUUCAAAGUAGCAUGUGAACAAUGGUGUUGGCCUGUAAAGAAUGGAGUCAUGCAUGGACAUGUGGCUUGCCCAUAUGACUACAAACUCCAUCUUGUUGCUGUGAUUUUGCUCAGAAGAACAAAGGGGUUUCUGCCCACAAGAGAGAAUAUAAAAGGCCCUGGAAACCGCUCCAUUUUGUCUUCAAUCCUGCUUCCUACUUCUGGACGAACCUUGCUACAAACUGAAGCGCUGAACAAAGGACUGACUGACCCAUCCAAGCUGUGGAUGUGCUCCAGAGAUUUGAUUUAAACCUGCAGUUUAUUCCAUCACUGCUACAAACCUGAACCAAGAACUUUGCCAUUACUCUAUGUAAUUGAUUCCAUCUAACCAAC